CUCCCGUGGUGUGGCAGCUUGGGAGGUUCCACCUUGGAAGGCUCUGCAUGUAGGAAAGAUAAGCAGAAGUUUCUCUGGGUCUCUUUUUUUUUUUACUGGGAAGGACAUUCUCUAAAUUUUCUCCCUUCGAUCCCAGACAGUCUUUCCUCAAACCCAGGGACUAGGAAAGACACACGCUCAGAAAAAUGUGCUAUGGUGAGAAACAGUCCAGCAGACUGCGCAUGCGGAGUCUCAGAGGUUUUAUAUUUGUCUAGUCAGAAGGGGCUCCUAGUCUGUCAACCUUUUGGUAAUAUCUGGUGAUUUAUGACAGAACUGCUUGGCAAAGUACAUGGAUGGAGGCAGAAGAAAACACACAUCAUGUUAAAGAUAAAAUUGAACACAAACAAGGAUUGGAUAACCAAUGAGCUCCAGAGACCUGCUGUCUUCAUCUUCCCAGUUUAUGGUGACUUUACCAAUGGUCAGCUUUUUGUGGGGAUGCUGGAGAUUUGAACUCAGGUCCUCAUGCUCUGGUAGCAAGCACGUAACAACUGAACCAUCUCCCAGCCCCCUGCCACUUUUCUUGAGAUGGUUUCAUAUGGCCUAGGAUGUAGGUGAGGAUGACUGUAAACUUCUGAUUAUUCUGCUUCUACCUCCAGAGUGCUAGGGUUGUGUAUGGAUGUGCUCUAUCAUGAAUAAAUAUUAUGUGUUAUGUGUGUGUAAA